rnacentral:lncRNA from 1 species
AUGUAGAAAUAAACUAUAAAACUGAUGACUUCAAAUUAAACAAGAUGAAUAUAUAUGUACAAGAGCAAAUGAACUCCAAAGACUACAUUGUAUAUCUCCUGAUUUAUUAAAAGAGAUAAAUCACAUAAUAUAUAAGGGCUACCCAACAAAGUGAUAGCAACUAACUAGUGUCCACCUGAAACUAAACUCUACUACUCCAUGAUCCUAAAAACACUCAUUACUAAUCCAAUACUCUCCCACAAUUUCUCUAACUUAUCCUCUACUAAUAAAACAAUUAGUGAUUAUACUAAUUUAAUUAUUUCAAGUUUAGAUUAUUAGAAUAUAAUUCCAACAAUCUUCCCCUUAAUCUAAACUUAGCUUCUAUGCCCGUCUGGCAAGUUCUUCGGUGCCCAUCUGACUUUCUUUAUUGGCCCGUAUGACCUUUUGAACUGAGCCCGUAUGGCUAUUUUGUUUUGCCCGUCUGGCUACGUCUUCAUCUGCCCGUAUGGCUUUCAAUUUAGCCCGUAUGGCUUUCAACCCAUUUGGUUUUCAACUUAGCCCGUAUGACCCUUCUUAUUUGCCUAUCUGGCACGUCUUGUUUGCCCAUAUUGCACACUUGUUUGCCCAUCUGGCCUUUUUUUUCUUGCCCAUCUGGCACUUUUUUCUUGCCCAUCUGGCACGUUCACCUCCAUUUGAUUUCACCGGAAAAAUAGAGAACACAACUUCCCCCCGUAACUCUCUCGACUUAAAAAAUCAUUGCUUUUUAAGCAAAAAUAUCUCUCACAAACACGUUCACCUCUAUAUCAUUUCCUGCCUUCAGUAAGCUUCUCCGGCAUCGCCUCACCUUUCACGGCAGCUCCUACUACACAUGCAUCCCAUACUACACAUGCAGCUUUGCCACCAUGCUUUUGCAACGCCUACCUGUAACUAUCUCGUCACACACUUAUUCUGCGGCUCCACCACCACCUGGCGGCGGAACAACAAAACCUGGCUCUGAUACCAUGUAGAAAUAAACUAUAAAACUGAUGACUUCAAAUUAAACAAGAUGAAUAUAUAUGUACAAGAGCAAAUGAACUCCAAAGACUACAUUGUAUAUCUCCUGAUUUAUUAAAAGAGAUAAAUCACAUAAUAUAUAAGGGCUACCCAACAAAGUGAUAGCAACUAACUAGUGUCCACCUGAAACUAAACUCUACUACUCCAUGAUCCUAAAAACACUCAUUACUAAUCCAAUACUCUCCCACAAUUUCUCUAACUUAUCCUCUACUAAUAAAACAAUUAGUGAUUAUACUAAUUUAAUUAUUUCAAGUUUAGAUUAUUAGAAUAUAAUUCCAACA